rnacentral:rRNA from 1 species
UACGUAGGUCCCGAGCGUUGUCCGGAUUUAUUGGGCGUAAAGCGAGCGCAGGUGGUUUAUUAAGUCUGGUGUAAAAGGCAGUGGCUCAACCAUUGUAUGCAUUGGAAACUGGUAGACUUGAGUGCAGGAGAGGAGAGUGGAAUUCCAUGUGUAGCGGUGAAAUGCGUAGGUAUAUGGAGGAACACCGGUGGCGGAAGCGGCUCUCUGGCCUGUAACUGACACUGAGGCUCGAAAGCGUGGGGAGCAAACAGG